rnacentral:rRNA from 1 species
AUGGACGCCGGGCUGUCAACUACCGUGCCUCUUCGUAUCGUGAUCUGCCCGUGGCUCGCGUUCGGCCACCUGCUCCCGUACCUGGAGCUCGCGGAGCGCCUGGCGUCGCGCGGCCACCGCGUGACUUUCGUCUCCACGCCGCGCAACCUCGCUCGCCUCCCGCCGCCCGCGUCGCCGUGCAACGUUGACCUCGUCGCGCUGCCGCUUCCGCGCGUCGACGGCCUCCCCGAAGGCGCCGAGUCCACCAACGACGUCCCCGACGAGAAGCGGGAGCUCCACUGGAAGGCCUUCGACGGCCUCGCCGCGCCCUUCGCGGACUUCCUUGCCGCCGCGUGCGCGGACGCCGGCAGGAGGCCUCACUGGAUCAUCGCCGACUGCUUCCACCACUGGGCCGCCGCCGCCGCCCUCGAGCACAAGGUGCCAUGCGCGGUGCUUCUGCCGACGGCCGCUAUGCUCGCUGCCGCGCCCCGCCAGCAACCGCUGGAAUCGGAGCCCGUGGAGGCCGCCGCUGCCUCUGUGCUUGGACAGGCCGCCGCGGCCGUGCGCCUCGCCGUGCCCCGUUACGAGCGGGACGACGUGGCACCGGCUUACGCCGACGACUGCGCGUCGGGUAUGUCCAUCGCCCAGCGCUGGUUCUUGGCGAAAGAGAGGUGCACGGUCUUGGCCAUCCGGAGCUGCGUGGAGUGGGAGCCGGAGACCUUCCCGCUGGUGGAGACACUCCUCGGCAAGCCGGUCGUGCCCCUGGGCCUCCUGCCGCCGUCGGUCGACGGAGGCAGGCGCCGCGCGGCCGGGUCAUCGGAGGACCACGCCACCCUGCGCUGGCUAGAAGAGCAGCCGCCCGACUCCGUCGUGUACAUCGCGCUGGGGAGCGAGGUGCCGCUGAGCGUUGAACAGGUGCACGAGCUGGCCCUGGGGCUGGAGCUCGCCGGGACACGCUUCCUCUGGGCUCUGCGCAAGCCCGCCGGCGCCGUCCUCGACAACGACCACACCCUUCCCCCCGGUUUCCAGGACCGCACCCGCGGCCAAGGGCUGGUGACCAUGGGAUGGGUGCCCCAGAUCAGCAUCCUGGCGCACGCCGCCGUGGGCGCGUUCCUGACGCACUGCGGCCGGAACUCGCUCAUCGAAGGGCUUCUGUUCGGGCACCCUCUCGUCAUGCUGCCCAUCUUCGGGGACCAGGGCCCGAAUGCCCGUCAAAUGGACGCCAAGAAGGUAGGGUUGCAGGUGGCCAGGGACGACGAUGACGGGUCGUUCGACCGCCAUGGCGUUGCGGCUGCCGUCCGGACCGUCAUGCUGGACGGAGAAGCCAGGAGGGGAUUUGUGGCGAGUGCCCUCAAGAUGCAGGCGAUCGUAGCCGACAAGGAACGCCACGAGAGAUAUAUCGACGAAUUUGUUCAACAGCUCAGAUCGUAUCUGCCAACUGACGAUCUCACUACUACCACCCCCAGCUCCUCCAGCUGA